AGCAGCCGCGGUAAUUCCAGCUCCAAUAGCGUAUAUUAAAGUUGUUGCAGUUAAAAAGCUCGUAGUUGAAUUUCGGGAUCAAUGCGUCGGUCGUGCUUUCGGGUACGUACUGGUGUCAUUGGUUUCUCCUUUCUGACGAGCCGUGAUGUCAUUAAUUUGGUGUUACGGGUAGUUAGGACUGUUACUUUAGAAAAAAUUAGAGUGUUUAAAGCAGGCAUUCGCUUGAAUACAUUAGCAUGGAAUAAUGAAAUAGGACGUUUGACCCUAUUUUGUUGGUUUCUAGGAUCAACGUAAUGAUUAAUAGGGAUAGUUGGGGGCAUUAGUAUUCAAUUGUCAGAGGUGAAAUUCUUGGAUUUAUUGAAGACUAACUACUGCGAAAGCAUUUGCCAAGGAUGUUUUCAUUAAUCAAGAACGAAAGUUAGGGGAUCGAAGACGAUCAGAUACCGUCGUAGUCUUAACCAUAAACUAUGCCGACUAGGGAUCGGAUGAUGUUAAUUUUUAAUGACUCAUUCGGCGCCUU
rnacentral:rRNA from 1 species